GACGAACGCUGGCGGCGUGCUUAACACAUGCAAGUCGAGCGAUGAAGCUUCUUCGGAAGUGGAUUAGCGGCGGACGGGUGAGUAACACGUGGGUAACCUGCCUCAUAGAGGGGAAUAGCCUUCCGAAAGGAAGAUUAAUACCGCAUAAGAUUGUAGUACCGCAUGGUACAGCAAUUAAAGGAGCAAUCCGCUAUGAGAUGGACCCGCGUCGCAUUAGCUAGUUGGUGAGGUAACGGCUCACCAAGGCGACGAUGCGUAGCCGACCUGAGAGGGUGAUCGGCCACAUUGGGACUGAGACACGGCCCAGACUCCUACGGGAGGCAGCAGUGGGGAAUAUUGCACAAUGGGGGAAACCCUGAUGCAGCAACGCCGCGUGAGUGAUGACGGUCUUCGGAUUGUAAAACUCUGUCUUCAGGGACGAUAAUGACGGUACCUGAGGAGGAAGCCACGGCUAACUACGUGCCAGCCGCCGCUGUAA
rnacentral:rRNA from 1 species